rnacentral:tRNA from 1 species
GGUGCCAUAGAUCAGUUGGUAGAGCAAAGGACUGAAAAUCCUUGUGUCCCCUGUUCGAUUCCUGGUGGCACCA